UCUGGGGAGAAGGAAAUAAACCAGGAACCUGCGUUUGCCUGCACUGUGGGUUUUAAAACACACGCAUGGAGUGUGGCAGCCAUGGUGCCCAGGCCGUGCAGAGAGACAUGGGGACGUGGAUGUGGGAAGGUUCUUGCAUCACCGUGGAGUGGUGGGUUUCACCUGCAGGAGCCUGGGGUCCACGGGGACGUGCAAUGUAGACCCCAGAGCAGCCGCGGCACCGACGUCCUUGCGGGGUGUUCAGAGACGCCAGAGUGUGGGGGGAUUCAGUGACUUGGGGUCUCAUGGGCUUGUUGGCUGAUUUCUGUCUGGAGCACGCGCUGUCUCCCAUUUUCUACUCUGUUGAGACCAAAUUAAAAUGGAACCGGCCACAAAGAGCAAGUGGGGCUUCGUGUCCACUUCUCUGAGGCUGGGGCCGGGGGCAUCGCCUUCCUGGGAGUGCAGAGGAACGCGGGCAGAGUGUGUGCCAUGGCCUUGGCCAGAGGCGAUGGAGCCAACGCAGGAGGCUGCACCUGCCUUCCCUGAAGUCCACCGACACCUGUGAGGAACCAGAGAGGAGAUGAGAGCUUCAUCCAGUGCGGCUGCGAACAGCCGGGAUUCCACCGAGGCA
rnacentral:lncRNA from 1 species